CCUUGAUGUGUAGGAUAGGUGGGAGGCUUUGAAGUGUGGACGCCAGUCUGCAUGGAGCCGACCUUGAAAUACCACCCUUUAAUGUUUGAUGUUCUAACGUGGACCCGUGAUCCGGGUUGCGGACAGUGUCUGGUGGGUAGUUUGACUGGGGCGGUCUCCUCCUAAAGAGUAACGGAGGAGCACGAAGGUUGGCUAAUCCUGGUCGGACAUCAGGAGGUUAGUGCAAUGGCAUAAGCCAGCUUGACUGCGAGCGUGACGGCGCGAGCAGGUGCGAAAGCAGGUCAUAGUGAUCCGGUGGUUCUGAAUGGAAGGGCCAUCGCUCAACGGAUAAAAGGUACUCCGGGGAUAACAGGCUGAUACCGCCCAAGAGUUCAUAUCGACGGCGGUGUUUGGCACCUCGAUGUCGGCUCAUCACAUCCUGGGGCUGAAGUAGGUCCCAAGGGUAUGGCUGUUCGCCAUUUAAAGUGGUACGCGAGCUGGGUUUAGAACGUCGUGAGACAGUUCGGUCCCUAUCUGCCGUGGGCGCUGGAGAACUGAGGGGGGCUGCUCCUAGUACGAGAGGACCGGAGUGGACGCAUCACUGGUGUUCGGGUUGUCAUGCCAAUGGCACUGCCCGGUAGCUAAAUGCGGAAGAGAUAAGUGCUGAAAGCAUCUAAGCACGAAACUUGCCCCGA
rnacentral:rRNA from 2 species